UUAAUUCUUUCUCUUUUUCCUCUGUUUAAUUGUAAUCAUAGUCUUUGGCAUUGAUCAUUGAUUAUACUAAUUUUUACAGUUCCGUGAUUGAUUUGAAUUUUUGGUUAGAGGUACUGAUAAGUUGAUUUAACCUAGUGGUCUAACAAGAUAGUUUAGUAAAGUACACUGUAGUUAUAGGACUGAUUUGAUGUUGUAAAUCGCCCUUCUUUCUGUUAGAUUCAGUCUAUUUGUUUUUACUGUGUCGAUUCCAGUUGAUAGUUCGAUUUGACAUUUCCUCGGACAGCUGUUGGAAGUGACUUGGUUUGGUUUUUCCUGCUGUUAGUGACAGAGUAACACCUGGGACAGAAGGGACAGCAUAGCGGUUGUUUAGAGUAUUCCAGUUUGCAUGAUGGCUGCGCUUACGACUCAGGAACUGCUUGUCAGGGCCAGAGAGGAGGAAGCAGGUAGCUGUGAACAUGGCCGUAAAACACCAAGUGAAUACCAGGAGGCCGCAGAGGAGCUGUAUAUUACUUCAGGACUCCUGUCUAUCAAAAUACACGUGCAGAGGACCCAUCCAAACAACGACAAAGAAGGAGAGGUUGCUGAUGGAGGACGUCAUCACAAUAGACAUUGUAUCCUGGUGAAGAAGGCUCCAAACCACUACGCAGACUAUAUUCUCCCUAUAAGAAAUGAGCCACCUGCAGCCUCCCCUGUCCCACAGUGCCCACUACUGAGAAAAGCCAACGGUCAGAGAGAGUUUGUGCCCUGGGGCCAUCGAGACAUGGAAGCUCUGGAGAAGGCACUGCCGCCAUUGGGAGAAGGAGCUAACCCAUGGAUCCGGCUCUUUGAAAAAUACACAACGGCUGAUAAAUUGGCACUUGGAGAUAUACGGGCUUUAGUAGCCCGUCUAGAGGGAACAGUCAAUUUGAGAGCCUUGGAAGUAAGAUCAGGUACAACAGACUUAGAAGAUGAUGAUCCAUUCGACGGUCUCAGAGGAGCUUUCUGGGAAGCGAUGCGAACAGUUUGGCCCACAAAGAUGAGCAUGACAGUCCUAGCCACAUUGGAGAUGAAGCCAGCAGAAGAGAUGUUCCAGUACUUGAGGAGAGCAGAAACAGAAUGGCAUUUGGCCACAGGAGAAAGACACGACAAUAACAAAUCUACUGCAGUAAUCUGGCGACACACUGUGCAGCAAGGCUUGCCCCAGGCUGUUCAAACAGCGUUGGAGGGAGUAGUGGGACUGGACAACAUGGAUGAAAUCACAUGGAGAGACCAUCUAACCCACUUCUACAAAAUACAGAGAGCGGCGGAGACAAGGAGGCAAGAAGAACUGAGGACGAUGACGCAUCGACUCCUGGAGAUCCAACUGGCAGCAGCAGAUGCAGAAGCAACGAAAAAACAGAGAGUCAGGAAACAACUGUCGGUGAGAGAUGAACAACCUCAAUACCCCGUUCCUCCAGAGGCCCAAUAUCCAGCCCCAGCAGUCAGAGACCGUUCAAUGGUUGACCAGCAACCACCACCUCAGCGCAGAGGCAGAGGACGUGGAAAUAAUAGGGGAAGAGGAGAUGAAUGCUACUUAUGCGGACAGAUGGGUCAUUGGUCAAGAAUAUGUCCAACGAACAUGCAGUUCAGUGCAGCUCCUCCACGGUCUUCCCGUCAAAUGCAGCCCCGGCAGGACCAGAGGGUCUAUCUCACCUCCACCCCCUCAUGCAAACCCCACAGCAGACGAGGCCCUAAAACAACUAACUGGUGACACACCGACCCCCGCUGCUUUCCAACAGCUCAGAUAAGCACCCUCAGUCUCUACGGUGUACGACUCACAUUCCAGGUAGAAAAGGGAGACUGGAGAUUACAGACGGCUGAGAGUGUCAGCUCAAACUAGACUUAAACCCGUAGGGAAGAUUGAUUUUAAAAAGGGGAAAUCAGUCAUUGAAAUUAAGAGAUAAGGUUGUGUAAGAUUUAAAUGAGGAAUGAAGGAGAAGAAAUUGACUGUGAAGGUGAGAAUGAGAGGUAACAUUUUUGUGUAAACUUGGUAUGAGCAGAUUGCUUUGAGGUUAGACUGAACAAAGAGAACUUGGUUGGUCAAUUAGUUCAUGAAGACAUGGAACAGUCAUACACCAUGAGGGUGAGACCUACAAGCAAAACCUCAAAGGGAUCAUUGAACGGGGACACGAAGGCAAUGUUGGUGUUAAUUUUUCAUGAGUUGACUAUGGGGGUCAAUAAUCAGUUAUGUCGAAGAUUCCAAAUUUCUAUAAAUAAAUGGCUCCUCAAAUCGGUUGGAAACAAGGCCGUUUGAGAAAGGCAAUUUUCCAAAACAAUGUGUAAAUACUUUAGGAGCAGAUAAAGAUAUGCAGAGGCAUUCUUUACGUCAACGCAUCACAUUCUUCAUUCAGCUGAGGCUCUAAUCCAAAGUGACUUGCAGGAAGUGAAUUUGAACAAGAGGAACAGAAC
ensembl:lncRNA